AGUGAACGCUGGCGGCAGGCCUAACACAUGCAAGUCGAACGGCAGCACAGCAGUAGCAAUACUGUGGGUGGCGAGUGGCGGACGGGUGAGGAAUACAUGGGAAUCUGCCCUGUCGUGGGGGAUAACGUAGGGAAACUUACGCUAAUACCGCAUACGACCGGAAGGUGAAAGCGGCGGACCGCAAGGCGUCGCGCGACUGGAUGAGCCCAUGUCGGAUUAGCUAGUUGGCGGGGUAAAGGCCCACCAAGGCGACGAUCCGUAGCUGGUCUGAGAGGAUGAUCAGCCACACUGGAACUGAGACACGGUCCAGACUCCUACGGGAGGCAGCAGUGGGGAAUAUUGGACAAUGGGCGCAAGCCUGAUCCAGCCAUGCCGCGUGAGUGAAGAAGGCCUUCGGGUUGUAAAGCUCUUUUGUCCGGAAAGAAAAGCCUUCGGUUAAUACCCGGGGGUGAUGACGGUACCGGAAGAAUAAGCACCGGCUAACUUCGUGCCAGCAGCCGCGGUAAUACGAAGGGUGCAAGCGUUACUCGGAAUUACUGGGCGUAAAGCGUGCGUGGGUGGUUCGUUAAGUCUGAUGUGAAAGCCCUGGGCUCAACCUGGGAAUGGCAUUGGAAACUGGCGACCUAGAGUGCGGUAGAGGGUAGUGGAAUUCCCGGUGUAGCAGUGAAAUGCGUAGAGAUCGGGAGGAACAUCUGUGGCGAAGGCGACUGCCUGGACCAGCACUGACACUGAGGCACGAAAGCGUGGGGAGCAAACAGGAUUAGAUACCCUGGUAGUCCACGCCCUAAACGAUGCGAACUGGAUGUUGGGUGCAACUAGGCACUCAGUAUCGAAGCUAACGCGUUAAGUUCGCCGCCUGGGGAGUACGGUCGCAAGACUG
rnacentral:rRNA from 1 species